AUUGAACGCUGGCGGCAGGCCUAACACAUGCAAGUCGAACGAGUGGCGGACGGGUGAGUAAUGUCUGGGCAACUGCCUGAUGGAGGGGGAUAACUAAUGGAAACGGUAGCUAAUACCGCAUACCAUCGGAUGUGCCCAGAUGGGAUUAGCUAGUAGGAGGGGUAACGGCUCACCUGGGCGACGAUCCCUAGCUGGUAUGAGAGGAUGACCAGCCACACUGGAACUGAGACACGUUCCAGACUCCUACGGGAGGCAGCAGUGGGGAAUAUUGGACAAUGGGCGCAAGCCUGAUGCAGCCAUGCCGCGUGUAUGAAGAAGGCCUUCGGGUUGUAAAGGACUUUCAGCGGGGAGGCGUUACCCGCAGAAGAAGCACCGGCUAACUCCGUGCCAGCCGCCGCGGUAAUUC
rnacentral:rRNA from 1 species